rnacentral:lncRNA from 12 species
AUGUCUAAUCCAAGAACUACAGUGGAGAGAUCACAGGCUGAGAAAAGCAUGAACAAAGUCCAGAGGCCUGGAUUUUGUUGUUUCCAAUUUACAGAUGGGAAUGGAUGUGACAGUAAAGGAACUGACAUUCACGGAGGCCGGUGGAUGGAAGGAUGAUUCGAGUGUAUUUGCCACAUCUUGCCAAUGAGAUCUGCAAAUCCACACUGGGGGAAAAAAACCCUGUGACUCAGAGCAGCCACUCUCCAGGGCUUGAGUGGGAACCACAAGCAUCAUGACUUACUGGUUUGUGCCCAGGAGGAUCUUCAGGUUUCCCACCAAGUCCAGACACACAGCUUCAGAAUCCUGCUCAAUUCACCCUCCAUCCAUCAGCUGAUAUACUUCCCAACCCUUCCUGAAUCUGGAGAAGGGUUGGCUCGCGCAGUGCUUUCAGCACAAACCUACUCACUUCCCGUAGGAAGCCAGCCUUUCCGUCAACUCUGCUUCUGACCCAGAAUUUAACACAAUUCAACAAAUGUUCACCGAGAAUCCACUAAGUGUCAGGGAGCAGGGAUGAAUAAACAUGGUCUCUGUGCCCUAAGGAGCUCA